rnacentral:rRNA from 1 species
GACGAACGCUGGCGGCGUGCUUAACACAUGCAAGUCGAACGGAAAGGCCCUGCGUUUGUGGGGUGCUCGAGUGGCGAACGGGGGAGUAACACGUGAGUAACCUGCCCUUGACUGUGGGAUAACUUCAGGAAACUGGGGCUAAUACCGGAUAGGAGCUCCUGCUGCAUGGUGGGGGUUGGAAAGUUUCGGCGGCUGGGGAUGGACUCGCGGCUUAUCAGCUUGUUGGUGGGGUAGUGGCUUACCAAGGCUUUGACGGGUAGCCGGCCUGAGAGGUUGACCGGCCACAUUGGGACUGAGAUACGGACCAGAAUCCUAUGGGAGGCAGCAGUGGGGAAUAUUGCACAGUGGGCGGAAGCCUGAUGCAGCAACGCCGCGUGCGGGAUGACGGCCUUCGGGUUGUAAACCGCUUUCGCCUGUGACGAAGCGUGAGUGACGGUAAUGGGUAAAGAAGCACCGGCUAACUACGUG